GCCUGUUGUCAUGGGGGAGGUGGUGGCGCUUAGUGGCUGGCUACUGGCGGCGGAGGUAGAGGCAGUGGCUCUGGAGUUGGUCGGGGGCAGCGGCAGAUUUGGGCCUUAAGCAACUUCUUCCAGGGAAGAAGGCCCCUGCAGCUGCUGUUGCAACUGAAGAUCUUGAUCCACAUCCAUAGAUCGGAAUAUUGGUGGGCCAACUAUCCUCAGACACCUUACUUAGGACAGAUGAGGAAACUGAGGCUUGGUGAAGUUACGAAACUUGUCCAAAGUCACACAGCUUGUAAAGGGCACAACCAAGAUUCAGAGACAGGUUGUAAAAAUUAAAAUGAACAAACUACGGCAGAGUUUUAGGAGAAAGAAAGAUGUUUACGUUCCAGAGGCCAGUCGUCCACAUCAGUGGCAGACAGAUGAAGAAGGGGUUCGUACCGGAAAAUGUAGCUUCCCAGUUAAGUACCUUGGCCAUGUAGAAGUUGAUGAAUCAAGAGGAAUGCACAUCUGUGAAGAUGCUGUAAAAAGAUUGAAAGCUGAAAGGAAGUUCUUCAAAGGCUUCUUUGGAAAAACUGGAAAGAAAGCAGUUAAGGCAGUCCUGUGGGUAUCAGCAGAUGGCCUCAGAGUUGUGGAUGAAAAAACUAAGGACCUCAUAGUUGACCAGACAAUAGAAAAAGUUUCUUUCUGUGCCCCAGAUAGGAACUUUGAUAGAGCCUUCUCUUACAUAUGUCGUGAUGGCACCACUCGGCGCUGGAUCUGUCAUUGCUUCAUGGCUGUCAAGGACACGGGUGAAAGAUUGAGCCACGCAGUAGGCUGUGCUUUUGCGGCCUGUUUGGAACGUAAGCAGAAGCGGGAGAAGGAAUGUGGAGUGACUGCUACUUUUGAUGCCAGCCGGACCACUUUUACAAGAGAAGGAUCAUUCCGUGUCACAACAGCCACUGAGCAAGCAGAAAGAGAGGAGAUUAUGAAACAAAUUCAAGAUGCGAAGAAAGCUGAAACAGAUAAGACAGUUGCUGGUUCAUCAGCGGCCCCGGGCCACUCCGCCCCGCCCUCCUCCUCCCCCACCUCUCCCACCUCGGAUGCUGCUGGCUCCCUGGAGGUGAGCAACCCUCACGCCAUCCCGCGCAGGCACGCGCCCAUCGAGCAGCUUGCUCGCCAAGGCUCUUUCCGAGGAUUUCCUGCUCUCAGCCAGAAGAUGUCACCCUUCAAGCGCCAGCUGUCCCUGCGCAUCAAUGAGUUGCCUUCCACUAUGCAGAGGAAGACUGAUUUCCCCAUAAAAAAUGCAGUGCCAGAGGUAGAAGGGGAAGCAGAGAGUAUCAGCUCCCUGUGCUCACAGAUCACCAAUGCCUUCAGCACGCCCUCCGAGGAUCCCUUCUCAUCCGCCCCAAUGACCAAACCAGUGACAGCGGUGGCACCCCAAUCUCCUGCCUUUCAAGUAUUGCUCAUUGGCCUGACUGACCCAGCUCCAAGGGGCCACCUGUACACCCCGCAUGAAUUAACUCCAUUGAUGUUGUCUGCUCCCAUUGUAGCUAAUGGCACUGACUCAGCCUUCCAUGUGCUUGCUGCUAAGCCAGCCCAUACUGCUCUAGCACCCGUAGCAAUGCCUGUGCGUGAAACCAACCCCUGGGCCCAUGCCCUUGAUGCUGCUAACAAGGGAAUUGCAGCCACACAUUCGGGGACCGAGUGGGGUCCAUCUUCCGAUGCUGCCUCUCCAGGUCUCUUCCAGGCUGGUCACAGACGUACGCCCUCUGAGGCAGACCGCUGGUUGGAAGAGGUGUCCAAGAGCGUCCGGGCGCAGCAGCCCCCAGGCUCCGCUGUCCCCCUGCAGCCAGUUCUCCAGCCGCCUCCGCCCACGGCCAUCGCCCAGCCCGCGCCGCCUUUCCGAGGGAACGUGUGCCUCGCCUCUCAGCCCGUGCCAGUGGGUGUGGUCCCACCCCUGCAGCCGGCCUUCGUCCCUGCCCAGGCCUAUCCUGUGGCGAAUGGGAUGCCCUAUCCAGCCUCUAAUGUGCCUGUGGUGGGCAUCACUCCCUCCCAGAUGGUGGCCAACGUGUUUGGCACUGCAGGCCACCCUCAGGCCGCUCACCCCCAUCAGUCUCCCAGCCUGGUCAGGCAGCAGACAUUCCCUCCGUAUGAGACAAGCAGUGCUACUGCCAGUCCCUUUUUUAAGCCUCCUGCUCAGCACCUCAACGGUUCUGCGGCUUUCAAUGGUGUAGAUGAUGGCAGGCUGGCCUCAGGAGAUAAGCACACAGAGGUUCCUACAGGCACCUGCCCGGUAGAUCCUUUCGAAGCCCAGUGGGCUGCAUUAGAAAGCAAGUCCAAGCAGCAUACUAACCCCUCCCCCACCAACCCUUUCUCCAGUGACCUACAAAAGACAUUUGAAAUUGAACUUUGAGCAGUCACUAUGGCUUUUGUAUUUUGUCUGUACUUAGGCAAGGGCAGGGGGUGGAGGUUAAAGGAGCAAAGGGGCCUUUGUGUUCCUGAUCAAGUACACUUUUCACUAAUCCCAAAGGUCCCAAGGAGCACGUCCAGGCACGGAGUGCUGUGCGGGGUGAUUUUUGAAAAAAGUGGAGAAAACCAUUCCUAGAGAAGAGCUGUCUUGCAGUUAGGCUAAAGAAGUCGAGGAAGUGUUGCCCACUGGCCCCCUCCUCCUGCCUCAGCCCCUUACAAAUCUCUGGCAAGAGAGCAGACGUAUCUGACCAGGAAUCUGUAUUCAAAGCACAUUUACUGGAAUAUAAAAUAUAAUGGGAAGCAAAACAAUCGCCCUUUGUUUUUCAGGCCAUUCACCUGCCUCCUCUCAGUACUGGCCUGUCUUAGAGAUCAAGAGCAGGGUGGCCUGUGCUUGGGUCAGGGACGAGAGGCAGGCUGUGCUGCCAGAAUUCCCAGGAGGGCACAGCAGCUGCCCGGCAGAGCUAUAUUUUAAGGGUAAAGUUGAGCUUCCAUUUUGAGUAAGAAUAAAUAUUAUAAAUAUAUAUCGAAAAAGCCAAAAUCUUUAUUUUUAUGCAUUUAGAAUAUUUUAAAUAGUUCUCAACAUGAAAAAGUUGUAUGAGUUGUAAGUAAUCUUGCCAAAGGUAAAAGGGUUAGCUGUAAGAAAUUGUACAUAAGAUUGAUUUAUCACUGAUGCCUAUUAAAGUAAAAAGAGGAAAGGUUGAGUGGUGAAGAUGGGACCCCUGGCUAAUUCGGUAUCAGUCACUGUAAGUAGCACAUUGCAACAACAAUCAUGCUUAUGACCAAUACAGUCGCUAGGUUUGUAGUUUUAAAGACAAUGAAAGAGUAGUAUUGUCCUGGUUUUAAACCUGUGAUGAAAUUCUAAUGUCAUUAUUUUAAUGGAAUCAAUCUAAAUAUGCUCUAUAGAGAAUAUGUAUUUUCUGUUAUAUAUUGCUGCAGUUUCCAGUUUCCUUAUGUUAAUCCUUUACUUUGUUUUAACACUAAGGUGACAAUGACGUCAUUCAUAUCCAUAGACUGGAACACAGGUUACUAUGUUGGUUUGUCAUGUGGGUCUUGGUGGGUUUUGUUUUGUCCUUUAGGUUUUGUUCUCAUGAGUUUUGUGGGGGAUGGAGAUUCUGGUUUUAUUAUCUGUGUGUGUGUGUGUGUGUGUGUGUGUGUGUGUGUGUGUGUGUGUGUGUCCGUCCCCGUCCCCAUCCCCCUCCCCCUCCCUUGUGAUGAUGAAAACAUCUCGUUGUCAGUUGCAGCCCCUUGACCUCUGGUAACAACGCGAGAUCCCAUCUCAUUUUUACUUUUAAACGUUGGCCUUACAAUCAAAUGUAAGUUAUAUAUAUUUGUACUGAUGAGAAUUUAUAAUCUGCUUUAACAAAAAUAAAUGUUCGUGGUAGAA